GACAGAGGGUGCAAACGUUGUUCGGAAUUACUGGGCGUAAAGCGCGUGUAGGCGGCCCUGCAAGUCGGAUGUGAAAUCCCACGGCUCAACCGUGGAAGUGCAUUCGAAACUGCAGGGCUAGAGUCCUGGAGAGGAAGGUGGAAUGCUUGGUGUAGAGGUGAAAUUCGUAGAUAUCGGGAGGAACACCAGUGGCGAAGGCGGCGACCUGGGCCAAUACUGACGCUGAGGUGCGAAAGCGUGGGGAGCAAACAGG
rnacentral:rRNA from 1 species